GCCGAAAUAGCUCAGUUGGGAGAGCGUUACACUGAAGAUCUAAAAGUCCUUGGUUCGAUACCGGCUUUCGGCA
rnacentral:tRNA from 1 species